rnacentral:lncRNA from 1 species
UUCCUUCUAUUUUUCUCUCUAUACGUUGGUGUUCUAACCAAUAAUCACCAAUACGAUAUUAUGUCCGAUCGAUUCGGAAACCAACGGACGAAUGCUAAAGUGCUGUCUAAAUAAGACUAUACUUUGUGAAUUUCGUUAAGGUUCUGAUCUCGUGACCGUCGUUAGGUUUGAUAUGGUUUUACACUAAUACGUAUUCCACUCUGUUAAACUAAAUGUUUAACUAUUAGAAAACACCAAACCAUACACUUACUAUCAAACAAGAUGAUUAAUCAUCAGAAGAUUCAGAACUAUAAAAUAGGUGCUUGAAAUCAAGAUGCUUGUUUAAUCAAGACUAUAUGCUACUAAGGUGAUUACAGUAGAUCGGAAUAAAAGUUGGAUACGACACCAAAAGGCAUAAAGAAGUGGCUUAUUUUUAAAUUGAAUUAAGA